rnacentral:rRNA from 1 species
AGUGAACGCUGGCGGUAGGCCUAACACAUGCAAGUCGAACGGCAGCACAGUAAGAGCUUGCUCUUACGGGUGGCGAGUGGCGGACGGGUGAGGAAUACAUCGGAAUCUACUUUUUCGUGGGUGAUAACGUAGGGAAACUUACGCUAAUACCGCAUACGACCUACGGGUGAAAGCAGGGGAUCUUCGGACCUUGCGCGAUUGAAUGAGCCGAUGUCGGAUUAGCUAGUUGGCGGGGUAAAGGCCCACCAAGGCGACGAUCCGUAGCUGGUCUGAGAGGAUGAUCAGCCACACUGGAACUGAGACACGGUCCAGACUCCUACGGGAGGCAGCAGUGGGGAAUAUUGGACAAUGGGCGCAAGCCUGAUCCAGCCAUACCGCGUGGGUGAAGAAGGCCUUCGGGUUGUAAAGCACUUUUGUUGGGAAAGAAAAGCAGCAGGUUAAUACCCCGCUGUUCUGACGGUUCCCAAAGAAUAAGCACCGGCUAACUUCGUG